rnacentral:rRNA from 1 species
UACGGAGGGUGCUAGCGUUGUUCGGAAUUAUUGGGCGUAAAGAGCGUGUAGGCGGCCUCGUAAGUCAGAUGUGAAAGCCCUUGGCUUAACCAAGGAAGGGCAUUUGAAACUGCUUGGCUUGAGUACGGGAGGGGGAAGCGGAAUUCCCGGUGUAGAGGUGAAAUUCGUAGAUAUCGGGAGGAACACCGGUGGCGAAGGCGGCUUCCUGGACCGAUACUGACGCUGAGACGCGAAAGCGUGGGGAGCAAACAGG